rnacentral:rRNA from 1 species
GACGAACGCUGGCGGCGUGCCUAAUACAUGCAAGUAGAACGCUGAAGAGGGGAGCUUGCUCUUCUUGGAUGAGUUGCGAACGGGUGAGUAACGCGUAGGUAACCUGCCUGGUAGCGGGGGAUAACUAUUGGAAACGAUAGCUAAUACCGCAUAAAAUUGAUUAUUGCAUGAUAAUUAAUUGAAAGAUGCAAUUGCAUCACUACCAGAUGGACCUGCGUUGUAUUAGCUAGUUGGUGAGGUAACGGCUCACCAAGGCGACGAUACAUAGCCGACCUGAGAGGGUGAUCGGCCACACUGGGACUGAGACACGGCCCAGACUCCUACGGGAGGCAGCAGUAGGGAAUCUUCGGCAAUGGGGGGAACCCUGACCGAGCAACGCCGCGUGAGUGAAGAAGGUUUUCGGAUCGUAAAGCUCUGUUGUAAGAGAAGAACGGGUGUGAGAGUGGAAAGUUCACACUGUGACGGUAUCUUACCAGAAAGGGACGGCUAACUACGUGCCAGCAGCCGCGGUAAUACGUAGGUCCCGAGCGUUGUCCGGAUUUAUUGGGCGUAAAGCGAGCGCAGGCGGUUAGAUAAGUCUGAAGUUAAAGGCUGUGGCUUAACCAUAGUAUGCUUUGGAAACUGUUUAACUUGAGUGCAGAAGGGGAGAGUGGAAUUCCAUGUGUAGCGGUGAAAUGCGUAGAUAUAUGGAGGAACACCGGUGGCGAAAGCGGCUCUCUGGUCUGUAACUGACGCUGAGGCUCGAAAGCGUGGGGAGCAAACAGG